AAUCAACGCUGGCGGCGCGCUUAACACAUGCAAGUCGCACGAGAAAGGGAGCAAUCCUGAGUAAAGUGGCGUACGGGUGAGUAACACGUGGAUCAUCUACCUUUUAGUGGGGAAUACCUCCGGGAAACUGGAGACAAUACCGCAUAAGCUCGAAAGAGGAAAGCAGCAAUGCGCUGAAAGAGGAGUCCGCGGCUGAUUAGCUAGUUGGUGAGGUAAUGGCNCACCAAGGCGAAGAUCGGUAGCCGGCCUGAGAGGGCACACGGCCACACUGGCACUGAAACACGGGCCAGACUCCUACGGGAGGCAGCAGUGGGAAUCUUGCACAAUGGAGGAAACUCUGAUGCAGCGACGCCGCGUGAGCGAUGAAGCCCUU
rnacentral:rRNA from 1 species